GGCGAGAUUAGGCUUAUUCACAGGGUAAUGGAAUCUAAGAGAAGAAGGGUGGGAGCUGCCAGCCUCUGGAGGCACAGCUUUGAAGCUGCACAGCAUCACUUCUGUCCCAUUCGUUUAAUCAGAACAAGUCACAAGGUAAACCAGCUGUGAAACAAGUAUAAAGAUAAAGUGACUUCAAAAGUGCAAUGGAUGGGCUGCAUCAUUUUGAGAAGAUGAGUCAUGCACGUGACUGAAUUGACCAGUUCACUCUUGUUUUUGGCAUUUGUAACCUGGGGUGGACACUCAAAGAGGAGAAUCAGCCUUCUUCUGUUUCCAAGUGUUUGCCGUUCAAAUAUCAACCAGCCACCAUUUUAGAUUAAAUAUCUUCCCCUUUGAUAUCAGGACAUUAAGAAAAAUGACUCAGGCGAAGUCUAUAGGAAACAUAAAAGACAGUUCCUUCAUUUAUGCUGUGUAUGGUCUAGUAGGAGACAUAGGCAUCAAGUGAUGGUAUUAAUGACAUACCCUAGGGCCAUUUGAAUAUAUUUAAAUAUUCAUAUAAGCAGAGAACUUCCAUUGGCUCAUGGAUUUCCUCUGCCUGGACUUGGGUAUCUAAGUAGUUCUCUUCACUAAUCUAC